rnacentral:rRNA from 1 species
ACGCUGUCUGGAGGAUGGCUCGGCUUGAGAGCCGAAGAAGGGCGCGGCAAGCCGCGAUACCGCCUCGGGUAAGCGCAUGCAGCCUUAGAACCGAGGAUACCCGAAUGAGACUUCUCACCAGUCGUAAGAUUGGUACUCCUUCACGGAGUGGGUACCCCCCGAACGGAAGCAUCUUAGUAGGGGGAGGAAAAGAAACCAAACACGGGAUUCCCUUAGUAGCAGCGAGCGAACUGGGAACAGUCCAAACCGAAUCCCCUACAGAAAUGUAGGGGAGAUGUAGGGUUAAGGGCCCGGCUGCCUCUUCAUUGGUUAAGCUGAAGUGGCCUGAAAUGGCCCGCCACAGAGGGUGAUAGCCCCGUAAACAUACACCAGAAAGAGUUGAGCUGGAGUCCCAGACUACCGUACCAUGGUUUUGGUGCGGAAAGUUGGGAGUCACCAACUUCCAAGACUAAAUACAUCUCAAGACCGAUAGCGCACUAGUACGGUGACGGAAAACUGAAAAGUACCCCGGAAUGGGGGUGAAAAGUGCCUGAAACCAGACAGUUACAGACGUGUGCGGCCCAGAAGAGUAGAACCCAUCCAUAGGAACCCGCUGUGAAGCGGCAGUACGAGGAAGGGGGAUCAGGGUCGCACGUUCCGUCUAGAAACACGGGCCGGGGAGUUUAUUGCUAUGGCAAGCCUAAAAGCAGUAAACUUGUAAGCAAAGGGAAACCAACAAGCGCGCAACUCGCAAGAGCCAGGCGCAAGGUCUGAAAGGGCCUGAAGUCAUAGCGAUACAUACUAGAAACCAGACGAUCUAGCCCUGGGCAGGGCGAAGCUAGGCGAAAGCCUAGUGGAGGCUCGAAAGGGUUCUGACGUGCAAUUCGUUCCCCAGACCUGGGGCUAGGGGCUAAAGACCAAUCUAGUCUGGUGAUAGCUAGUUCCUUCCGAAGUGGGCCUGAGCCCAGUCCCGAACGAGGCGGCUGGUGGGGUAGAGCACUGACUGGAAAACAAGGACCCGAAAGGAUCCACUUUCCUCUCAAACUACGAAUCCACCCGCACCUAAGACUUUGGGAAACGGGUUAGUGGGGGUAAGCUCCACGACCGAGAGGGGGACAACCCAGACUGAGGUUAAGGUCCCCAAAUGCUGGCUAAAUGUCAAACCAAAGGGCGUCGUCAGCCUCAGACAGCGGGGAGGUAGGCUUAGAAGCAGCCAUCCUUUAAAGAAAGCGUAACAGCUCACCCGCCGAGGCUGACGGCCCCGAAAAUUGACGGGGCUAAGCCAGCUACCGAUACCUCAGAACGCAGUGCACACUGCGCUGGUAGGAAGGCGUCCUAGUUGGGCAGAAGCUGGGCUGUGAGGUCCAGUGGACCGAUUAGGAUUGCGAAUCCCGGUGGUAGUAACAGCAAAGAAAAGUGAGAAUCUUUUCCGCCGAAGGGGCCAGGGUUCCCCGGCAACGAUCGUCAGCCGGGGGUAAGUCGAUCCUAAGGCAUAACUUAACCGAUUAUGCCGAAAAAGGGAAUCCGGCUAAAAUUCCGGAACCAUAGAGGUACAUGCGGCAACGCAAGCUUAGUGUUGACGUUUCGGGGUAAGCUGAGCAAGGUCUUCGCCUUGUUUAACUAUAUAAACCCAGGGAGUGCCGUAAUGGCGAGAACUGGGCGAAAGUGGGAAUAGCCACCCGUUUUAGGGAGGUUCAGCUGAUCUCUGGAGCCACUGAAAAACGCACUAAGAAGGAUCCUUUAUGACCGUACCUAGAACCGACACAGGUGUCCCAAGGCGAGAAACCUAAGGCGUGUCGGGUAUACACUAAUGCGAGGGAACUCGGCAAAUUAGCCCCGUACCUUUGGUAUAAGGGGUGCCUGUUCUUUCAGCUUCGUGCUGAGAGAGCAGGUCGCAGUGACAAAGGGGUCUCGACUGUUUAAUAAAAACACAGGAAGCCGCAAGAGCGAAAGCUUGUGAACGGCUUCUGAAUCCUGGCCAGUACAGGUACCUGAAACCUGGGUCCAACUGGGCUAAGGGCCUGCAAACGCCGGGAGUAACUCUGACUCUCUCAAGGUAGCCAAAUGCCUUGUCGGGUAAGUUCCGACGUGCAUGAAUGGAUCAACGAGGGCCCCACUGUCCCCGCGUAGUACCCGGUGAAACCACAUAACGUGGACGAACAGUCCACGAUCUCCCAGCGGGAAAAGAAGUCCCUGUGGAGUUUUACUGCAGCCUGCCGCUGGAAUACGGUUGUGGAUGCAGAGCGUAGUCGGGAGCCGUCGAUCCUGGGUUCUCUGGGACCUGGGGGAGGCAACAAUGGAACACCGACUUUCUGCAACCGUGUUUCUCACCAGCCCCUUGCGGGCUGGAACAACGGUAGGUGGGCAGUUCGGCUGGGGCGGCACGCCCUUGAAAAGAUAUCAAGGGCGCCCUAAGGUUGGCUCAGGAGGGACAGAAACCCUCCGUAGAGUGCAAGGGCAAAAGCCAGCCUGACUGAAUCCCAAACAGUAAGGGAUGCAGAGGAGAAAUCCGGGCUUAGCGAUCAUCCAUGUUCCCCCUUGGUGGGGGCUGGAUGUGUCAGAAAAAUUACCCUAGGGAUAACAGGCUCGUCGCGGGCGAGAGUCCCCAUCGACCCCGCGGCUUGGUACCUCGAUGUCGGCUCUUCCUAUCCUGGCCCUGCAUAAGGGGCCAAGGGUGAGGCUGCUCGCCUAUUAAAAGGGAACGUGAGCUGGGUUUAGACCGUCGUGAGACAGGUCGGACUUUAUCUGCUGGGAGUGUUGGCUGCUUGAGGGGAAAGGGUCCCUAGUACGAGAGGAACGGGACGCUGUGGCCUCUAGUUAACCGGUUGUCUGAUAAGGCAGUCGCCGGGCAGCCACGCCGUUGUGGAUAAGAGCUGAAAGCAUCUAAGCUCGAAGCCUCUCCCGAAAAGAGGCAGCCAUUCCAGUUUCACUGGACGAAGGCUCCCAUAAAAGAUGGGUUUGAUGGAGCCGGGGUGUAAGCUAGAAGACUUCGGUCGACUAGCUCAGCCUGCGGCCACCAAUCGCCUGAGAUG